CUUUACUGUAACUUGAAAUUGAAAUUGGACUUUACUUGCGCAGUAUAGGUGGGAGGCGUUGAGUUUAUUCUUGCGGGAAUUUAGGAGCCAUCAGUGAGAUACCACUCUGGUAAUGUUAGAUUUCUAACUUUGUAUCAUAAUCUGGUCAAAGGACAGUUUCAGGCGGGCAGUUUGACUGGGGCGGUCGCCUCCUAAAUGGUAACGGAGGCGUACAAAGGUUUCCUCUGAACGUGUAGAAAUCGUAUCUAGAGUAUAAAGGCAUAAGGAAGCUUGACUGUGAGACUUACAAGUCGAGCAGGGACGAAAGUCGGUCUUAGUGAUCUGACGGCACUGAGUGGAAGGGCCGUCGCUAAACGGAUAAAAGUUA
rnacentral:rRNA from 1 species